GUUUGAUUUUCUGUUCUUGUAUCAGUUUGGCUUUUGUUAAGGGUUAGUUCCAAAUGGUGGUGUCUCCAGAGAGCUGACGAUCUCAGAAUGCUUUUGAAUUUGCACAGCGAAGCCUUCAAGUCCUGCCUUGGCAGUUUCAACAGAAGCAUAAAGGAUGCAAGGAAUCACAGACAUGAUGGUUUCCUAGAACCUAUUUACUCUUGAAACCAUUCAGGAAGAAUCCAGGAAAUUAAAAGGGAGCCUCAUUUUCAGUGUGACCUUGGAUCUAUUGCUUGACCUUCCAACACCUGGG
rnacentral:lncRNA from 1 species